UUAAAAAAAAAAUCAACCGUUAAAAAUUUUCAAUAUAUACUAAUUAAGAAAUCAAGAAACAGAAAACAAAACUAAUUAAGAAAAUUUCAGCACUUUCAGGGCCACCAAGAUGCUCUACAUUGUCAACAAAUGAAAAAUGAAGAUCACGAAUCCAUCUUCAUCUUGGUACUGAUCUUAUGCUUUUUUUUUUUUUUUUUUUUUUUUGACAUUAGUACUGAUCUUAUGCUUCUUUGCCUUACGAUGCGAGAAGGUAGAAAAGAAUUGUAGAACGCGACAAGAGCCUGAACCUCAUCCUCAACUAAACCAAUACAUGAUUCAACAAUAAUAGUCUCAAUAAUUAAUGUUACUUUUUCUUAGUAUUUGGGA
rnacentral:lncRNA from 1 species